UAGAGUUUGAUCCUGGCUCAGGACGAACGCUGGCGGCGCGCCUAACACAUGCAAGUCGAACGAGAGAUGAGGAGCUUGCUCUUCAAAUCGAGUGGCGAACGGGUGAGUAACGCGUGAGGAACCUGCCUCAAAGAGGGGGACAACAGUUGGAAACGACUGCUAAUACCGCAUAAGCCCACGGCUCGGCAUCGAGCAGAGGGAAAAGGAGCAAUCCGCUUUGAGAUGGCCUCGCGUCCGAUUAGCUAGUUGGUGAGGUAACGGCCCACCAAGGCGACGAUCGGUAGCCGGACUGAGAGGUUGAACGGCCACAUUGGGACUGAGACACGGCCCAGACUCCUACGGGAGGCAGCAGUGGGGAAUAUUGCACAAUGGGGGAAACCCUGAUGCAGCGACGCCGCGUGGAGGAAGAAGGUCUUCGGAUUGUAAACUCCUGUUGUUGAGGAAGAUAAUGACGGUACUCAACAAGGAAGUGACGGCUAACUACGUGCCAGCAGCCGCGGUAAAACGUAGGUCACAAGCGUUGUCCGGAAUUACUGGGUGUAAAGGGAGCGCAGGCGGGAGAACAAGUUGGAAGUGAAAUCCAUGGGCUCAACCCAUGAACUGCUUUCAAAACUGUUUUUCUUGAGUAGUGCAGAGGUAGGCGGAAUUCCCGGUGUAGCGGUGGAAUGCGUAGAUAUCGGGAGGAACACCAGUGGCGAAGGCGGCCUACUGGGCACCAACUGACGCUGAGGCUCGAAAGUGUGGGUAGCAAACAGGAUUAGAUACCCUGGUAGUCCACACCGUAAACGAUGAUUACUAGGUGUUGGAGGAUUGACCCCUUCAGUGCCGCAGUUAACACAAUAAGUAAUCCACCUGGGGAGUACGACCGC
rnacentral:rRNA from 1 species